AUUGAACGCUGGCGGCAUGCCUUACACAUGCAAGUCGAACGGCAGCACGGGAGCAAUCCUGGUGGCGAGUGGCGAACGGGUGAGUAAUGUAUCGGAACGUACCUUUCAGUGGGGGAUAACGUAGCGAAAGUUACGCUAAUACCGCAUAUUCUGUGAGCAGGAAAGCAGGGGGAUCGCAAGACCUUGCGCUGAUUGAGCGGGCCGAUAUCAGAUUAGCUAGUUGGUGAGGUAAAGGCUCACCAAGGCGACGAUCUGUAGCGGGUCUGAGAGGAUGAUCCGCCACACUGGAACUGAGACACGGUCCAGACUCCUACGGGAGGCAGCAGUGGGGAAUUUUGGACAAUGGGCGCAAGCCUGAUCCAGCCAUGCCGCGUGAGUGAAGAAGGCCUCGG
rnacentral:rRNA from 1 species